UACAUGGGGUGUGCAACAGUUGCUCGGGAAUUAUUGGGCGUAAAGCGCACGCAGGCGGUUGCGCGCGUGGGGUGUGAAAUCUGGCCGCUUAACGGCCAGGCGCCAUCCCAUACGGCGCGACUGGAGUGAUGCAGAGGUCGAUGGAAUUGCCGGUGUAGUGGUGAAAUGCGUAGAGAUCGGCAGGAACACCCAGGGGGAACCAGUCGAACUGGGCAUCUACUGACGCUGAGGUGCGAGAGCGUGGGGAGCGAACCGG
rnacentral:rRNA from 1 species